CCUACGGGGUGCAGCAGUGAGGAAUAUUGGUCAAUGGACGAGAGUCUGAACCAGCCAAGUAGCGUGAAGGAUGACUGCCCUAUGGGUUGUAAACUUCUUUUAUAUGGGAAUAAAACGUUCCACGUGUGGGAUUUUGUAUGUACCAUAUGAAUAAGGAUCGGCUAACUCCGUGCCAGCAGCCGCGGUAAUACGGAGGAUCCGAGCGUUAUCCGGAUUUAUUGGGUUUAAAGGGAGCGUAGGUGGAUUGUUAAGUCAGUUGUGAAAGUUUGCGGCUCAACCGUAAAAUUGCAGUUGAAACUGGCAGUCUUGAGUACAGUAGAGGUGGGCGGAAGUCGUGGUGUAGCGGUGAAAUGCUUAGAUAUCACGAAGAACUCCGAUUGCGAAGGCAGUUCACUGGACUGCAACUGACACUGAGGCUCGAAAGUGUGGGUAUCAAACAGGAUUAGAUACCCCAGUAGUC
rnacentral:rRNA from 1 species